UAAUGGGAUAUAAGCAGACCUCUGACAGCAUCUGAUCACCUCUAAUGUGGUGGUAUUAGGCUGGACAUGAUCAAUUGCCAAAUUAUUAGCUGUAUAGGCAAUUAUCGCUGGAACAGAUGAGAGAAAGAAGAAAUCUGAUCACAGAAGCAUCUGCUCAGGUUGCCUUACUGUAAAUUUCACAGGGACAGAUUUGCCCCAGUUCAUUGUCACCUGUGAUUGGAUUAAAGACAACUGAAGUGAGAGCAAGAAGAUUUACAAAGGCUUCUGUAGCCAGAGGAUAAUGACUGUACCACCCAAGGUAGGCUGAGAUCACAAUGAGAACCACAGGGUUUUAACCCAGCUGAAAGAACAAACCAGAAGUUUGCUAGCCACACCUCAGUGGACAGUAGUGUAAAGAGACUCACAGACCCGACCAGACCAGAAAUCUAUCACCUGGGACCAGAGAAGUCUGAGAGGGGAGUUACAAGGAUAAUCAAAAGGUCUUCAGGAGGCUCCAAGACCAGCAGGCAUAUAAGCAAAACGGAACAUAGACACUGGAAGCAACUUUCCUGUGUUA
rnacentral:lncRNA from 10 species